CGAACGCUGGCGGCGUGCCUAAUACAUGCAAGUCGAGCGAGNNUCUUCGGANNCUAGCGGCGGACGGGUGAGUAACACGUAGGCAACCUGCCUCUCAGACUGGGAUAACAUAGGGAAACUUAUGCUAAUACCGGAUAGGUUUUUGGAUCGCAUGAUCCGAAAAGAAAAGNCGGCUUCGGCUGUCACUGGGAGAUGGGCCUGCGGCGCAUUAGCUAGUUGGUGGGGUAACGGCCUACCAAGGCGACGAUGCGUAGCCGACCUGAGAGGGUGACCGGCCACACUGGGACUGAGACACGGCCCAGACUCCUACGGGAGGCAGCAGUAGGGAAUUUUCCACAAUGGACGAAAGUCUGAUGGAGCAACGCCGCGUGAACGAUGAAGGUCUU
rnacentral:rRNA from 1 species